rnacentral:lncRNA from 1 species
AAUAGGAAGAGCAACCAGUUACUAUGAGUGAAAGGGAGCCAGAAGACUGAUUGGAGGGCCCUAUCUUGUGAGUGGGGCAUCUGUUGGACUUUCCACCUGGUCAUAUACUCUGCAGCUGUUAGAAUGUGCAAGCACUUGGGGACAGCAUGAGCUUGCUGUUGUACACAGGGUAUUUCUAGAAGCAGAAAUAGACUGGGAAGAUGCACAACCAAGGGGUUACAGGCAUCGCCCGUGCUCAGAGAUUGUUUAGGGACAUCCUAUAGGACAUUAAAUUAUUAAAUGACAAUCACAAAUAAUAUUAGGAUCAUAGUUAAAGAAUGUAGUUUAAAGGCAUCUCAUUUGUUAUAAGUAUAUUUUAUAUUACUUAAUGGGUGGUAAAAAUCUUAUCGCUAUUGCUAAAUGUCUUAGCAACACUCCACUUGAAAGCUGUGAAGGAAAUCUGCACAUAUUAUUGAAACUUUCCAAAUUCAAAACUAAAUAACAUUUCAAGAUCAAUUUUAUGAACUGGUUCUAAAAAGUGGCAAAAUAUCUACUACAGCUUUGUUUGCUCAUAGGAUAUAGUAAAGCACUAAAAGU